rnacentral:tRNA from 1 species
UUUCGCAGGACGGAGGUUUGAGGUGUCCUGGAUCUUCGCAGUGUUUGUUGUGGUUCUCCUCCUUUUUGUUCUCUCCUUUUGGGUUUGGACUAAAAGACGGAGGCAGCAAGUCAGAGCCCUUUCCAACGGAGGGGACCUGAACCGCAUGGACCUGUACCAGAAGGCGGAUUUCAAAUGGAAGGACGACCAAAACUUGCUGAGCAGUGAAGAGACUCUGGAGGGACUCGCCGACCCCUCAGACAGCAGUCCCAGUCUGGUGUCCAAGUCAGAAACUCCUCUCAAUCCUUGGAGAAACAAGACCCAGCUCAGGAGGUAGCUGCGGGGAAGCAAGUCCUUUCAGAUGUUGGUGCAUGAGCCGCUGCCCUUCACUUGGGCCUUUUCCAUUUCCUUCAUCAUCCUGAACCCUGGAGAGGAGGAGGAAGUGGCCACCGCAACUGUCGGCCUCCCUGGGCAAGGGGAGCCGGGAGACCCGCUUCCCAGGAGCCCCUGCGUCCUCGGCUGUCCGAGGAUGGCUCCGGUGACCUAAGGCACAUCGUUUCCUGCUCUUUGGACAACAGAGCUCUCGGUGGGAGCAGCAACAGUUGCUGUUUGUAGACUAUAAAAAUCAUGGGCCUUGUAGCCCCGGGACCUUUAGGGUCGUUGGCCAUUUGGGGGCAAAGAGGCUGAAUUGUUUUAGACAUCGGGGAGCAGAGUCACAAUCACAUUUCUUGGUAACUAUUUACAUGUAAAUAAAUGGGUCCCAAUGAGAUCUUUCCUCUCUUUCCUUGGGGACAACUUGGGCACAAUGGAGCAGGGCUGGGCCGGCCCCAGUCCAAAGGCCCCAGUCCAAAUCCAGCUCCCAUACUUGCUAGCAGUGAGUCCCUCAACAUCCGUUUGUCUCAUCUGUGAAAUGGGCAUGAACAGCAGUGGGGGAGGCGGGAUACGGUAAUAGCCCAGGGAGGCCGGGAGUGCUCGCUUUUGUUACUGUUACCUUUGCUCGCUAGUCCCUGCGCCAACUCUUUUGCUCCUGAGUGGUCACAUCACUCUCCUGGGCCUAGGCCUGUUUGCGCUUGGGGACACGGACUGGGGCCGGGGGAAAGAAGAGGGGGCCCCAGAAGAGGGGGCUGCCCGGAUGGCCGCAGGGGCCCAGGCCACGUUCCCCAGCUAUUCUUCUCUCCCAAAGAAGUCAUGGGACUUGAGGGCUCGGCCCACCCCGUCCCUGAGCCUCCCCCAACCGGGACUGGCCGUGUUGCUAGGGGCGGCCUGCGAGGAGCGGGCUGGGGAAGAGCUACAUUUAAAGGGGCCUGGCUGCGCCUCUGGGCCCCCGCAGAGCGCCCGGACUCGGGCCUUGGCCGGCCGCGGGCCUUGCUAACAAAUGGAGCUGUUACCGCCGGCCCAUCGCGCUCCGGCCCGGCCUGGGGGACUGGCCCCCGAGGGAGCGCCGGGCCCGAAGCCGGCGGAGGCCGUUCCCGCUGCCUGCCGGCCCAUGCGCUCCUACAUUCGCUUCCUCCGCUUUCUGCUUUUCUGCCCGUUUGGCUGAGUGGCCUUUCUCCCCCGUGUACCUCGGGGUGCGGGAGUCGGGCUCCGAGCCCCCAGCACGGGGUCCCCCCCCUCCCGGGCUCCUUCACACUGACGAUGUCUGGGGGAGCACAGAGGAUUCUACCCCCGGGGAGGAGAGGGGGGGGGUCCCCGCUUCUCAGUCUGGCGAAGGGCAGGCAGGGACAGAAGGGGCGGGAGCGCUCUCUGUCACCCCCCGAACCGCCCAAGAGCAGCUCCCGGGGCAGGAGGAAGCGGCCCCGGAGAAAGGCCUCGAGAGGUAGCAGCGGGCGCUCCAGGGCGCCGGUGGCCCGAGAGUCGGGCAAGGCCCAGGCCGGGCCUCGGGCUCGAGGAGAGCUGGGGAGAAAUGACUCCUCGGAGGCCGGGGAAGGGCGGGCGGGGCCGCAGGGCCAGCUGGGCCGGGCGCCCCAUCCUGUCUCGGGCAGCAGGGCCACCCUUGCUGGCCCGAGGCACCCCCGCUGGAAGGGGCCGCGGCGGGGCCGGGGAUCAGGCCUCCGCAAGGACCUAGCGCGGCCUCGGGACCCUGGAGGCAGGCGGGGCGGGCUUGGGGGCGCAGAGCCUUCGGGGGCGGCGGGGUGACUGCGGGCGGGGAAGACCCCUUUCCCUCCCUCCCCACCCCCCCCCCCCCCCCCGGGCCUAGUUCCAUUCCCCCUCGGGGUCUAAGAGACGCUCACGAGAGCCUGGGCCUGGGUAGCGGUGAGGGAGCACAGAGGUCCCCUCCCCCCGCUUCCCCGGUACUGUGGUUCCCCCCAAGCCAGGCCGGCGGGAGCCCGGGGGCGGGGGCCGCUCUCCAGCCUCUGUGGGAGGGAAUAGUCCGGACGUUUUUCCCGAAUGGCCCUGGGGAAGGGGUUGGGGGAGGGGGGUUCCGGGGCCCCUCCCCCCUUUCCUUUACUCCCGGGAGAGCGUGGAGAGCUGGGGGAUGGGCUGCAGGGAUGCCAGACAGCCGGGACCGCGCUUGGGAAGGUCGCCAUCGGGCGUCUGCCCGGGGGCAAAGAGCGACCUAACGUCCUAAGGGCCGGCGCCAGGAGAACUCCGCACGGACCUCGUGGCGCAACGGUAGCGCGUCUGACUCCAGAUCAGAAGGUUGCGUGUUCGAGUCACGUCGAGGUCAGCGCGGCGGAGGUUUUUUUCCAGUUACACAUUUUGGAACCUGCGGCAGAUCCGCAGCCCCGACGUCCCGCCCUCUCCCUUCCCCCCCGCCAAAUUGUGACCGAAGUUUUAAACCAGAAAAACGAAAAUUCAGCGUAAUCUUCCAAGUGCUGGGGAAAUCGGAGCCGCGGCGGACAGUGCCCGCCCCACCCCCACUCUUUGCAAAGCAGGGGAGGGAGCGGGACACGAAGGGGGCUGCCCGCCCUACUCCUUCCCCGCCUUUCCGGGCUCCAAGCCCCCUCCUUCCUCCUCGGGUCAGAGCCUGUCCCGGGCUCCCCCCGGCCCCUCCGCCCCCAUCCCGGGAAAGCUCUCCUGGGGUUUUACUUCUUCCCAGCCCUGAGUAAAGGUCGGCAGUGCGGGGCGGGCGGGGGCCCCGAGCUCUGGAGGAAGGGCCGGGCAGCUGGGCCUCGGGCCCCUCAGGGGGUCCGUGGGGUGCGCGGGUGUAGACAAAGCGUGUGUGAUUUUUACCGGCAGCAGGGGCCAAAACGUUGCCCGGGACUACCAGGGGUGGGGUUCGAACCCACGAAAGCAGACGCUUAUUGGAUCUUAAGUCCAACGCCUUAACCACUCGGCCACCCUGGUCCACACGCUACUCCUCCCAUAAUGUCCUCCAUGUCAUUCUCCGGCUCCCAGGGCGUCUCUGGAGGCGCCUGAAAUGUCCCUGGGAAGAGGGGGCGCGGAGAGAAGGAAUGUCGGAGAAGCGAUGGGGAGAUGCUUAUAGAAGAGAAGCAGGAAGGAAGGAAGGAAGGAAAGCAGGUGGGAUGGGAGGAAGGUGGGAAAGAAGGAAAGAAAGAUGGAACAAAAAUAGGAGGGAUAUAAGGCAUCACAGAAGGAAGGGGUGCAGGAGGCCUUUGGGGAAGCAGGUGGAUAAAGGAAGGAAGCAUGGAAGGAAAGAAGGGCUGCAGGAAGAAUGGGAAGAAGGAAAGGCCGAAGGAGAACAUUUGUGCCAGGAAUGUGGGAAGAAUGGAAGGAAGAAGGAAGGAAUGAAAAAUGGAAGGACAGAGGGAAGAAUCUAGUACUUAAUGAAAGUAGGAAGAAAGAAUGCAGGAGACAUUUGUGGAAGGAUGAAGCAAGGACAGAAAGAAGGAAGGAGAGAAGUCUGUGGACGAAUUUAAGAGAGGAAGGAAGGAAGGAAAUGGGAUGAAGUCAUGAAUGAGACACUUGUGGAAGGAUUCCAUUUAAAGCCCAUUGUUCCUAAGUGGGCCUAGGAUAGGACUUUAUGGUCACACAGAUUUCCUCACUGGCUAUCAAUGUCACCGAUUACUUAGAGUAGGCGCAAGCCAAUGGCCUCCCAGAGAGUCUCCCGAUGGUUUGUUUCCUUUCUUAGAUUUUCGAUCGACUUCAGCUGUUGGCUAACAAGAUCUCAGGACUUCUGGUGUGAAAAGUCUAAGGAAGUUCCCCACUGUACGUUGUCAUUAAUUAUUUCAGAAGAUAAAUGCCUCAUUCAAGGAUUAAGGUGUAGGUUAAUGAGAGCUCGUUAGCUAGUCAGCAACUCCCAGCCCAAUGCGGAAGAUGAAGGGAAGUCGUCUCUCACCACAAUCUCAUAUAUUAUAAAACGAGAACCGAGGCUUCUGACAAUCUGGGGCCCGUUAAUUCCACCGAACAAGUUUCCACAUUAGUUUUCAUGACGUUCAUUCAUUCAAGAGCCCUAAGUCACAGCAGUUGCUGCUUAGCCCAUGACAAGCACUGCAGUCUACACUUUACAGUUAGGGGAACAGAGUUCUGCCUGGAUCCUUCCUUUAGGAUUCCAACCUAACGUCCCACAUUCUACUUUUGUUUAUGAAGGAGACAGAUACCACCAAGUCCUAGAGAAUCCUUUCCACAGAGUCUAAUUGUGAAGAUUGCAGUUCCUGAAGCUAACGGCCAAGUAAAAGUGGGUGUUUGCUCAUCCUUUGGGGGGGAUUUCUGAACUAACUUCCUCCCAAAGUUGGGGAUUCCUUCCUGCUUCCCCAAUCUAGUAUCAGGAUGUGCAGUAAGCAGGAUAACCCUGGAAAGACGUCAUUCCCCUCGCUCCCAAAGUACCCUUCCCUCUACUAGAGAGACAUUCACAAAAGAAGUUCACAAAGGAGACCAGGGGCAUGGGCCCGAGUCCAACCAGGACACCAGAAUGUCACCAAAAUUGCCACCUUCCAGGUUCUCUGCUGCUCCUCCCAGAGCAGGAAAUUUUUAUUGCUGUCAACUUUGUCAGACAUCCAACAGCUUUCUUCUCAUUUUUACUAUUUUCUUUCUCAGUGUCUAGUCUAUUGUAUAAAAGCAACUCCCAUGUUGACUGCUGGUACUUAAAUGUGUCAAGAAACUAGGAAGCAUUUUUCUUUAACUGUGAAAGAUCUUUGUUCCUAAUUACCUCCCCUUUUACAAAAUUUGUGUUAUUUUCCGGUACUGUAGGUUAUUAAAUAAUUG